rnacentral:lncRNA from 1 species
AUGCAGCCAAAACUGAAUUCAAUUUUCUUAUUUAAGUAUUCCCCUGUUCGAGCACUCAAUCACACAUAAGAACCUAGAGUCGAUUUCUAUGAUAAUGCCAUUGCCAAUAUUAACAGUUCAACUAGUUACUGAACACCAAUUCACUGGGCUAAUUAAUAGUCUAUUACAAAAUGAUAGUCAAAAACUGCCCACUUGUUACAAAUGAUACAAAAUUUUCCCAUAAACGUGAUUGUUUCACACUUUAACACCAAACAAAAACAAAUAAAUUCAGAAAUCAACUCAAGCACUUCAUCAUUUAAUCUCCAAAUCAAAACUACAUAGAACCCCCACAGUUCAGACGAGGCCAAUGAGAAUACCUGAAAAUUGAAAUGUAAUAAGAAAAGGAGAGGUCAGCAGCUGCCAAGGACAAGCAGCAAUGUUAAAUAGUAGCAACAAAAGCAAAUCUAGAACUGAAAUAGCCUCAUAAACCCAGCUAUGAAGUAUGAACCCAUUGAUUAACACAUCUAAUGCAGAGUCAAUAUAACCAGCUCGUACAGGUCAGGUUCACUUUGAAAUAGACUCAAAAACUUUCAAAACUCGAUUACAGAUUACCAGUAGAAAUUGUAAACCAUUUUUGGAUCCUAACUGAGCUGGAAAUCCGAUUGAGAUGCUGGAAUUCAAACUUGAUUAAAGAAAACUCUAAUGAAACAGUAUUUUUUAUUUUAUUUUUUUGUUGUUUUUUCCUCUUUUUUGGUGAUUUUCUGAAAAGUUUCAGUUCUAAGAGAGAUUUCAAAUUCUAGAUCUUGGUUUUUGAAUCUGAAACUAUAGACUGUUUUGGGGGGAAUUUUUGGAGGUUGAAACUUAUCAAUUCAGGCAGAAUGUACUGUCUUUUAUAGGCAAAGCUUAAGGGAAACUUCAUAUUUUCAAUUUUCCAUCUUAGGUCUUAUUUGAAUUCUCAUUAUUGCUUAAGUAACCCUGGAUUUAUGACUUGUUCCCCAAGUUCCACUACCCAAAAGGCUGAAAUUCAAAUCCCACCCCACCCUAAAAGCUUCUUAGUUUGUUAUGAGAGAUUCCAUAAUCCUCAAUUGCCUAAGUUACCCUUCCAGACCUUGGUAUUUACUUGUUAAAGCCAAUUGGGAAAGCUGACUCAAAUAAUGGCCUGCAGAAACCAAAAUGCAUCCCAAUUGGGCUUUAUCAUUCUUUACAAAUCUAAUUAACUACUUAAGGCCCUCCAGAAUAGAAUUUGACCCCCAUAUUCCCACAUAAAGAAACCUAAAUCUAUUUUCCAAUACAAUAGCAAAGUUCACUGAACCAAACAUUACUGAAAUUUAAUUAAAUUAAACCCCCAAAUGAACUAAUUAGUGAUAAAACAUGGUAACUAAACUGAACCAUGAACAAAAUGGGAUUGAAUAAACAAACUCUGGUUUGAAUCAUGCCUGACUUGCCCAGAAAAAGAAGUAACGAGAAGAUUAGAGGCUGGAACAUUAAGACGAAUGGACAGGAGAAGAACCUUCCUCGCAGCACUUGAAUUUGAACCUGGCUUUCUGACUUCGGCGCCAAAUAAUAUUGACCUCUUGUUCUUUGUCAAGAACAAGCAUACAACACUAAGUUGCGCAAAAAUCGACUCUACAUGCUAGGGUUUGGUCUUGCAUCUUGGAGACUCUGAGUUUGUAUUUAAGAUUCGAGAGAGUUGGGGAGUAUUUGGGAAAAUGAUUCAUGGAUUCAACACAAGGGUACUCUGGUGGUUUUGUGGUAUCAUUUUGGUAGAGUGUGAUAUACAUGGCUAAUCUAGGGUUAAGAGAUGUGUAGGAGCAGAGAGAUAUAAGAUGAAGAAGAUGAGGAACUCAAUAGUCUCAGUCAUUUUUGGACAUUGUUAAGCAAAAUGGGGGGAAGUACUACAGCCGUUGGAUGAGGGGAAAUAAAUGGCUAAGAUCGACUAAAACCCUACAAACUCUAAACGACGCUGUCUGGUACAAGGCUAACUCGGUUGGGGAAGGGUUUGGGCCGUAUUUGGACGGGUUUAAUUCUGUUUCCACGUGCAAAAUUUAUCUGGCCUGGGCCAGUUUGGCCCAAAUGUGGGCAUAUCACUAAGCCUAU